rnacentral:rRNA from 1 species
GACGAACGCUGGCGGCGUGCUUAACACAUGCAAGUCGAACGGAGUGGCGAACGGGUGAGUAACACGUGGGUGACCUGCCCUGCACUUCGGGAUAAGCCUGGGAAACUGGGUCUAAUACCGGAUAGUGUGGGAUGGGCCCGCGGCCUAUCAGCUUGUGGGUGGGGUAAUGGCCUACCAAGGCGGCGACGGGUAGCCGGCCUGAGAGGGUGGACGGCCACAGUGGGACGGAGACACGGCCCAGACGCCUACGGGAGGCAGCAGUGGGGAAUAUUGAAAAAUGGGCGGAAGCCUGAGGCAGCGACGCCGCGUUGGGGAUGACGGCCUUCGGGGUGGAAACUCCUUUCACCAUCGACGCGGUAGAUGGAGAAGAAGCACGGGCUAACUACGGGCCAGCAGCCGCGUAAUUC